UACGAGGGGGGCAAGCGUUGUUCGGAAUUGUUGGGCGUAAAGGGUGCGUAGGCGGUGAUCUUUGUCAGAGGUGAAAGCCCGGGGCUCAACUCCGGAAUUGCCUUUGAAACGGGAUCGCUUGAGUCCGAGAGAGGAUGGCGGAAUUCCUAGUGUAGAGGUGAAAUUCGUAGAUAUUAGGAAGAACACCGGUGGCGAAGGCGGCCAUCUGGCUCGGUACUGACGCUCAGGCGCGAAAGCGUGGGGAGCAAACAGG
rnacentral:rRNA from 1 species